CUGGAGGAACAGCAAGUGACUUUUAAGUCUCAACCAUGUCUUCAGAAAGGUGCAAACUUGUGACUAUAUAACAUUGUAUAUUCUAGUUUUUUUCAGAAAAGUAAUGGAGUAAUCAUAAAUGAUACCUAGCUGUGCUUACAUUCUUGUCAGAUGAAUUAGCUCAGAUACUGAAGAGAAAAAUAAAUUUGAAAUUAAGAGGUUUAAAUUUUCCUUUCAGUGAAUCUCAUGAGCAAUAACAUACUUCAUGGUUGUAAUUAUUCUUCAUGUUAUAGCUUCACAAAGUAUUUGAUUCUGUGUGUUGUUUGGAGCAGUAGAUAUAUGCAAUGGUUUUAUACUCCUUACUCUCAAGAAAAAAACUGAAUUUAAUUCAUCCAUGGAUUUUCAUUCCAUAUCCAUUAAAAUUAAAGUUUAUUUGUGUGUUCCGAUAUGUUUGCCAGAAAGUAUGUGUACUCUGUAGGACUCUUGCCUUUAAGGUGCAGCAUUGAAUCUCAAGCAUCUGAGAUUAAAUCCUGUUUUUUAGUGCCAUGAUUGUGCUGGGAAUCAAACGACAUUUUCAAGGACUUGUAGACAUUAUAGACUUCAAACUAGAGACAAGUUUUUCAAAUUUAGUGAUUGUGGCAAAUAUUUUAUGCUACUCAAGUCUUAGAAAAUAUCACAAUACUCAUGGAGAAGAGAGACCCAAUGGAUGUAAGCAAUGUACUAUAUCUUCCUAUGAAUUGUUUUUGAAAGAGUAGCAGUGUGGGACGCUUUCAAAACUCAUGUCCUUUCAAAAUUGUCAUCCUCAUUUAUGACACAUUCAUUAUGUCUCCUUUGCUCAAGAAAUCAUUUUGUGAAGCAGUGAGUGCAUGGUAAGUAGGUAAUUUUCCAUUGCAGGGUCUGUUAUCAUUCAGGGGUGUGGCUGUGGACCUCUCACAAGAGGAAUGAGAAUAUCUAGAUUGUGCUCAGAGGUCUUUGUACAUGGAUGUAUUGUUGGGGAAUUACAGCAAUCUACCUUUUGUGGGAUUUGGCUGUACUCUGUGAGUUAUGAGAAUCAUUCACACACAGCUAGUACGUAUGAAGAAAUAUAUCCCAGGAACCAUAAGAAACAACAAGGAAGAAUUCUGAUCGCUCAUAGACACCAGAGUGCUGCCAUCCCAGUGCAGAGAAUUUAUGUUCAAAGCCCUGAAAGCAAGAUCUUUGCAUUUCCACAACUCUUGCAAUAAGUACACUCACAGUGCUGAAGGCACUCCAAAAAAACCAAAAGUGUUUGGCCAUAUGUACAUGGGCAUAGAUUUUUUCAUGAACCAAAGGGAGAUGUUUCUGAUGUAGCAAGCUUAAUGAGAUUGCCUGGGUGUAAACUGUAACAAAAUAACUCAGCCUAUGAAGACUGACUUCUGAAUGCUGUGUUUACAUUCUUGAUUGCCAACAUCUUAGAGGGAAAAUUAAAGGGCAGUAAAAAGUAAGCUUAUUAAAUGUUAAUCUUCCAUCCACACUGGAGCACACAAUAAAGUAUAUUUUCUGAGGUAAUAAAA